ensembl:lncRNA
AAGGAAAAUAAUGACACUAGAGUUAAUAGGAACAAACCUCACGAUUCUAACAGUGAGUAUAAUAAACAUACAUCACACUCUGUAUAAUAGAAUACCUAUCUGAUUCUGUUUACAGGCAGGUCACAGGCAGGCACGCUUUGCGUCUGAUGAGAAAACAGGGCAGUGGGUAUCUUGGAGCUGGCUGGAGGGUUCCUGAGAUGAAAGUGGCAUGAGGAAGUGCUACCUUUUUUUUAAACCUAGGUAGCAAUUCCAGGAACAGGUUUAUUCUGUGAAUUUCACGUACUGUAAACUUUUGAGCUAGCCCCUUUUCUGUUUCUAUGGAUCCUUUCCUGUAGAACUUUAAAAAUUCUGGCAAAGCUCUUGCACUAAUAAAAAGGCCGCUUGGGAUGUCACGUCUAAAUGCUGUGCUUCCAUAACAAAGCUAAACAACAACAACGAAACAGAAAAGAAAAACUGUUGCUGCGUUUAUGUCACAGUAGCAGCUAGAACUUGGACAAUGCUGUGGAAAAUAUGGACGGCUUAAAACCUGACCUCAAAUUCAGCGUCUCAUCCCAACUCUCAGGAAGGUCGGCUUGGAUGAGCAAAUGACCAGAGUGUCAGGACACGACACGUGGGGGUUUUAUGCAGCGCUCCUCUGCAAGAAAUUGGGGAAGGACUCAACAGUUUGUCUGCCUCUCCUCUUCUGCCUAAUUCUUCUCUAACCUUCUUCUGCCUAAUUAAUAGAUUGCAAGUAAAAAGGCCUAAAAAUUAUCCUCAUCGUCUUACCAGUAUCAAAUUGCCGAAUCAGCGUUGAGACAAACUUGGAAACUCCAUUUUCUAUGACUAACUCAGGGUGAAAGCGAAAGUGGAACAGGGCUGCUUGGAAAUCUGCCUAAUGCUCAGAAGCCAGAAGCUCUUCCUUCUGACCAAAUAAAAUCUUGGCUUAUGACAGGGAACCAAGAAUAGUUUCAGAGGUGCUUAAAUGUUUCUGAGAACUUGGAGAGCUGAAUUUCCUGCCUACACACCCAACCCCUUCCCAGCAACCCACAGUGACUUGGUGCAUGCUGAUAAACUUGAAAAUGUGCUUCCAAAUCAUUUAAUUUCUGGCAUGUACUGUACGAAUCUAAUACAAAUAAAUAAAUCAGUGGGGCAAGGAUAAAAUGCUAGAAGAAUAAGUACACUAAGUUUAACAGCACUUUUAAGUCCUUGAGGAAGUUAAAAUUUCAUUUUUAUAGUUUUGUGUGUUUCGUGAAUUUCUUUUCAAUGAAUGUGAAUUAUCUUUGAUUAUAAAAGUACACAUAUAUGCUGAUGAAUAUUUUCCAAUUUGAAAAAGAAAACGAUUUCAGGUAAAAUUUUCUCUGCAUUUUCUAUGUAGCAGGUGUUGCAAUGCAGUGGGUCAUUUACGUGGUCAAGUAUUUAAAAAGCACUCCUUACAUCCAAAACUCUGCCAAAAGUUAGGACCGAACUGGGCAUGUUUAUGUUAUUUAUAUUAAGAUGGGUCAGCUAGGAAAGGCUGCUUGGACGGAAGGAUUGUCCUGGCCCCCAAGGUUUGCACAGAGCCUGGGCAUAUAAUACAGCUGCACAGACCAAAAAUGGUGUUUUAUCCCCGUGAGCAAACAAGGAGGCAAAGCUUUAAGACAGUAGCUGAUUGAGAGUGGGACGAAUUAUUAUUUUAUCCAUGUGAUGAUUUCAUUACAUAGUUUCUGCCCUUUCUAUUAAAUCCUGGAGGUGUUCUCAAUUUACUUAAAACAGUCUUUCCCUCCUUAUUUUAGUGACUGUGUUCUUUAUACGUACGUGCCGCGACUUACCUUAUUAGUACCUGACAGAUGGACUUGGGAGUUGCUUCCAAUUUUGGCCGUCCUCACACCGCUGCAGUGAAUAUCCUGGACAGAGUCACUUGUCACCAGGGGACGUAUCUCUAUACGAUAGAUCCUUAAUGUGGACUUGCCGGGUCAAAGGUUUCAUGCAUUUUAAAUUGUGAUAAACAACCAUACCAACUGCACUGUAAUUAACAGAUAUGAGAGAUCCUGUUCGCCAGCCCGGGGUCCCAACCCACGUGUUAUUUCUUGGUGGUUUUAGAAGUGAAGCAUGUAACUCAUAGUUUGGAUUUGCACAUCUCCUCGUUUGAUAACAGUAAGUGUAACAUCUAUAUUUUCCUCGGCUAUUUUUGUGCAUUCUUUUCGGGAAGCCCUUGUUGUUUUUCUCGCCAGUACAUGAGACUGAUAUUUAGCAUGAAGACAUCAUCUCCUUGUCUGCUAUAAGUUGCAAGUGUUUUCUUCAUCUGGCUGUUUGUCUAAGCUUCUAGUUCAGUUUUUCAUGUUUCAGCUGGAUCCAUCUGAAAUUUAUUUUGGUAAAAUAUGUAAAGGAGUCUCCGAUUUUUUUUGUUUUUUCGUAUGGCUACCUCUCACCAAAGUGGGUAUGAACAGAACAUAACAGACUCAUAGCCAUUUAUGACAAACACACAGCUACCGUAAUACUCAGUGGGGAAAAGCUGAAAGCCUUUGUGCUGUAUUCUGCAACAAGACACCGAUGCCCACUCUUACCAAAGUGGAAGUCCUAGUCACAGCAAUCAGACAAAGACAAGAAAAACUAACUGGAAGAGAACAGGUAAAAUCGGUAUUGUAUGCAGAUGACGUGAUAAUCUACACAGAAAACCCUGAAGGUGCCCCCCCCCCAAACUACUAGAAGAAAUAAAUGAAUUCAACAGAGAUGGAUACAAGAGCAAGGCACAGAAAUUUGUUGCAUUUCACUACACUAAAACUAAAACAUUAGAGAAAGUAACUGAAAAAUCCUGUUUAAAAUUGGGUCAAAAAUACAAAAUAACAGGGUGUAAGCCUAACCAAUGGGGUUAAAGGCCUACCAGCUGAGGACCAUGAAAUAUUGAUAAAGGACACUGAGGGUGAUUCAAAGAAAAAUUUUAAAUAAUACAAAUGAACUUACAAAACAGAAAACAAACUUACGGCUACCAGAGAGGAACAAGGAGUGGGAGGGCUAACUUAGGCGGAUGGAAUUAACAGACACUCACCGCAGCAUGUGGAAGAGAUGAGCAACAAGGAUUUGCUCUGUGCCAGAGGAAAGUAUCAACAUUUUAGAAUAGCCUAUAACAGAAAAGAGUGUGAAAUGUACAUGCAUAUAUAUAUAUAUAUAUAUAACUGAAUCACUUUGCUAUACACCCGCAACUAAAAAAAUAAUGUAAAUCAAAUACACUUCAGUAGAAAA